UGGGGAAUAUUGCACAAUGGGCGGAAGCCUGAUGCAGCGACGCCGCGUGAGGGAUGACGGCCUUCGGGUUGUAAACCUCUUUCAGUAGGGACGAAGCGUAAGUGACGGUACCUGCAGAAGAAGCACCGGCUAACUACGUGCCAGCAGCCGCGGUAAUACGUAGGGUGCGAGCGUUGUCCGGAAUUACUGGGCGUAAAGAGCUCGUAGGCGGUUUGUCACGUCGUCUGUGAAAUCCUAGGGCUUAACCCUGGACGUGCAGGCGAUACGGGCUGACUUGAGUACUACAGGGGAGACUGGAAUUUCUGGUGUAGCGGUGGAAUGCACAGAUAUCAGGAAGAACACCGAUGGCGAAGGCAGCUUACGGGAGCGCAACUGACGCUAAAGCUCGAAGGUGCGGGUAUCGAACAGG
rnacentral:rRNA from 1 species